rnacentral:rRNA from 1 species
GGCAAUCUGCCCUUCACUCUGGGACAAGCCCUGGAAACGGGGUCUAAUACCGGAUAACACCGGCCUCCGCAUGGAGGCUGGUUGAAAGCUCCGGCGGUGAAGGAUGAGCCCGCGGCCUAUCAGCUUGUUGGUGGGGUAAUGGCCCACCAAGGCGACGACGGGUAGCCGGCCUGAGAGGGCGACCGGCCACACUGGGACUGAGACACGGCCCAGACUCCUACGGGAGGCAGCAGUGGGGAAUAUUGCACAAUGGGCGAAAGCCUGAUGCAGCGACGCCGCGUGAGGGAUGACGGCCUUCGGGUUGUAAACCUCUUUCAGCAGGGAAGAAGCGAAAGUGACGGUACCUGCAGAAGAAGCGCCGGCUAACUACGUGCCAGCAGCCGCGGUAAUACGUAGGGCGCAAGCGUUGUCCGGAAUUAUUGGGCGUAAAGAGCUCGUAGGCGGCUUGUCACGUCGGGUGUGAAAGCCCGGGGCUUAACCCCGGGUCUGCAUCCGAUACGGGCAGGCUAGAGUGUGGUAGGGGAGAUCGGAAUUCCUGGUGUAGCGGUGAAAUGCGCAGAUAUC